AUUAUCAACCAUCAAGCCUGGCUUGUCGUUGGACCUUUUGGUCGUCGAGACCGGUCCAAAAGAGAAUGGACGGGCGUCUGGUGGCCCCCGAUGCAACGAGCUCUUUUGAACAGCACGCAUCGGUGCGGCCGUCGGCCCCGCCCCAAACCCCAAUUUUUCAGGUUGACCUCGGAUCAGGUAGGAAUACCCGCUGAACUUAA
rnacentral:misc_RNA from 1 species